rnacentral:rRNA from 1 species
UACAUGUGGGGCAAGCGUUGUUCGGAAUUACUGGGCAUAAAGGGUGCGUAGGUGGCUUGUUAAGUCAGGGGUGAAAGUUUUCGGCCCAACCGGAAAAUUGCCUUUGAUACUGGCGAGCUGGAGUGCGUGAGGGGUGACCGGAACGAGUGGUGUAGCGGUGAAAUGCGUAGAUAUCACUCGGAAGGCCAACGGCGAAGGCAGGUCACUGGUGCGCAACUGACGCUGAGGCACGAAAGCGUGGGGAGCAAACAGG